CCUACGGGUGGCAGCAGUGGGGAAUAUUGGACAAUGGGCGAAAGCCUGAUCCAGCCAUGCCGCGUGUGUGAAGAAGGCCUUCGGGUUGUAAAGCACUUUCAGUGGGGAAGAAAGCCUUGGGGCUAAUACCCUCGAGGAAGGACAUCACCCACAGAAGAAGCACCGGCUAACUCCGUGCCAGCAGCCGCGGUAAUACGGAGGGUGCGAGCGUUAAUCGGAAUUACUGGGCGUAAAGCGCGCGUAGGCGGUCUGAUAAGCCGGUUGUGAAAGCCCCGGGCUCAACCUGGGAACGGCAUCCGGAACUGUCAGGCUAGAGUGCAGGAGAGGAAGGUAGAAUUCCCGGAGUAGCGGUGAAAUGCGUAGAGAUCGGGAGGAAUACCAGUGGCGAAGGCGGCCUUCUGGACUGACACUGACGCUGAGGUGCGAAAGCGUGGGUAGCAAACAGGAUUAGAUACCCGUGUAGUC
rnacentral:rRNA from 1 species